rnacentral:rRNA from 1 species
AAAACGACUCUCGGCAACGGAUAUCUAGGCUCUCGCAUCGAUGAAGAACGUAGCGAAAUGCGAUACUUGGUGUGAAUUGCAGAAUCCCGCGAAUCAUCGAGUUUUUGAACGCAAGUUGCGCCCGAAGCCUUCUGGCCGAGGGCACGUCUGCCUGGGUGUCACGC